UCCUCUGGGGGGCUAACAUGAGGGCUUCUGGGUCCAGCUCAGAGAGGGAGCACCCUGGAGCAUGUGACAACUUCACUGCUCCUUCAGGACCCAGCCCUCGUCACCAUCCACCCGUCACUGGUUCUUCCGCACAAACGCUGGCAUCUCAGUCUGGAGAGACCUGCUUUCUUUCCUGGUCUUUGUUGUACCAGAUGAGCUGACCAGGGCAAGCAAUGUCCCGAAACAUCAGUGACUGCAGUGUGUAACUCCAGGACAGACACAGAACGGCCCUCGUGGAGAAGCACUCGCUAGAAUUUCUAGAUCUGUCUGACCCACCACCACUGGCCCUCUGAGCCCUCGGGGCUGUUAGAGGAAUCUUUCCUGUCAGGCCAGGUUCUGGGGAGAAGAAGAGGUUCUCCAGAACCACAGACCGCAGUGCAAGGACACAGAAGCUGACUGAGGACUCCCUUCUGGAGCUGCGGUGGGGGCCAGGAGGAAAAGAAUCAGAAUCUCAACACUAGUGAGAAGAUGGUCACAGGCCCAAGUGCAACUGUGACGGCACUAGAUGGAUGGAGAAGUGAAGCCAGGAACAAGGAACCUGGAACUAGAAGACCACAGAAGAACGUAUCCACGGUUCUCACUUGGAGUAAUUUGGUUUCAGUCCACGUGAAAUUAGAAUCCAGUGAGACAUGAACUCACAUUCUGAAACCUCUCAUGUGGGCUGCAAUCUCACAUUAGAUACGGGCAUUGAUAGUGAAAGUCUAAAGACACACAAUUAGUGACAGAGCCCUGCUCCCUACCUGAUACCACACAGGACUGCCAUUCCACCUCCCGUAAAUGAACUCAUCCACAAAUAGAAAUGAUCUCUUCCAUUUUCUUCUCUA